CCUAUAAUUCAGGGGGGCUAAUAAUUCUGACUUCAACUGUAUAUGCAUUUUAGGUGUUUCAUGCAAUCUGUAAACACACAAACACACUGUAAACACACGUAUGGUUAAGUGAAUUGUCAGGACAUAGUGAGUUUCCAUUGUUUACACACUACAAAUGGCAUUUCCUAUCACCCUACCUCAAACCUUAACCCAACCCCCACAGGAAACUGUUUUUACUUUCUUUUUGAAGAUGAAAAAAAAACUCAUUCUGCCUUAUUUACAAUUACAAGCCUUUUGAAAAUAGGGAAAGGGGCAAUGUCCUCAUAAGUCAUAUUUUCCUUGUAAUACCAGUCUCGUAAUUAUACAAAAUGUGUCCUAAUAUUUCUCUCACACACACUAAGAUCAACAGUGCUCCCUCAAAAAUGGUAAAUGGUUAGGAAAAUUAUCUUAAUUGCACUACAUAACACAAAUAAAAUUGAUGGUUUUACUGUUUUUAACAUUAGUGUUUGUGUUAGAUAUUUUAUGAAAUGCAGUUUCCCAAAGUCUCCCAUAUAUCAUUAUGACAGGUGUAACGAUGUGUAACUUCAUAACACUGUAAACAUAUACUGUGUAUUUAAUCAUCUCUAAAUAUAUAGUAUUAUAACAGUGUUAUACAGCAAACUCUGCACGCUGUUUGGAAGAAACAUCCUCGAAAGACGUGUUUUGAUGGGGGAGGGGCUUCGUAUGCAAAUGAGGCAAACAUGUGAAAGGCGUUUCUCCCAGUACAUGCAGAAGCUCAUUUUCUCAGAAACACACUGCCGUCUUCCAUAGCUGAUCUGCUGAUAACAACAUUAAAGGGAAGAUAUACCCAACAGGUAGGCCUGACGUGUUUCUUUAAAGUAUUUAACAAGCAACAUCUUUUUUUAAAUUUAUGUUUAUUUAGCUAAAAUGGAGCAGCUUUCACUUGUUUUCUUGUGCAUAGAUGCAGUUCAGAGCAUCCAAUUCAUUCUUUUUCUCUUUGUCUUAGUCUCUUUAAUAAUCCGGGCUCGCUACAGCGGAAUAAACCGCCAACUUAUCCAGCAAAUGUUUUACGCAGUGGAUGUAAAUCACUGGGAAACACCCAUAUGCUCUUGCAUUCACACUCAUAUAUAAUACUGUUAUUUUCCUCAAGCUUCCUCAAGUAAAGUCUCCGCGCCUGGGGCCACGACCAGACCAGGCCACUUCAUACCAGCAGAGCAGUUUGACUGAAGAAACAUUGAACAAAUUUAUGCAGUUAAUAAUUUAUAAAUAACACUAGCAAUAAAAAAGCUACUGAUUGCAUCUUUGUUCCCAAGGUCUUUGUUUGGAUGGGAAAUGAUCAGGUGAGGACCCCAAUUUUCACCAAUUUAGCAGCCUAAUUUAAUGAAUCAGAUCCUGCCAGAUAAGAGGACCCCUAUUGUUACAGUGAAGCAGAGCUUUGAAUUUCCCACCUUCACAGGCUGACUCUUGGGGUGGGAACCUGACCAUGAAGUUCUGACCCACUGCAUCGGGCCAUGGCUCGUCUGAAAAUGUAAUAGGAUUGAUCUAAUGUUACACCAAGAUGACUAAAUGCUGCCACUGUGUGCUGUCUCCCAUUGUUUACCUCUAUCACCCAUGUUUGAACCCUUUUUUAGAAAAACUAGAUGUCCAGAAAACUUUUCAAACCUCAGAAACCUUUGACAGAUUCAGUUUAUUUCCUGCUCAAUUGUAAAACCCAAGAAUAAAACGAAUUUAUAAAAAC